ACUAUCAUAUAUGGCUUCAAAACAUCAAGAUUGUGAUGGUGAAAAUGCUCAACUCUCGUCUUCAGACCAGGACUUCACAAACCAAUGGGUGACAUCACAGGAGCCGCAUCUAUCUUUUGCACUGUCUAUGACUGGUAAAUGUGGCUGCGUGACCAAUAACAGCCCCGAGGAGGCAUCUCUGUAAUUCCCUGUAAAUGACAACUAAUGAAGAUGCAAUGUCAACGGUCAGAGAUGAGCGCUCUCCUUUUUGGCUGUAUCAAGCACAUGCUCAAUUAGUGUCGCAUGUGGAGAGGGGAAGACGGGACAAGAAGCGGGCAGCAGAGGUGGGGAUCGCACAGUGAGUGUGAGAGAGGCUCAGUUUCAUCUUAGACCAAGAGACUGACGUGCUACAAAUCCCACCAGCAGCACCACCAAACAGACCUGCCAGCACUCCUCAGGAAACCACUGACACACACUCUCUCACACACACAAGCGCAGAGGCGGAGAGCUGAUGUGUUGCUUGUUUUCUUCCAAUUUCAUCAUGUAUGUCAGCUUUUCAUUACGCCAUUAAAUAUAAGUUCCAGGAACUUGUAAAGUCAAUGCAGAGACACA